GACGAACGCUGGCGGCGUGCUUAACACAUGCAAGUCGAACGGUAAGGCUCCAGCUUGCUGGGGUACACGAGUGGCGAACGGGUGAGUAACACGUGGGUGACCUGCCCUGCACUUCGGGAUAAGCCUGGGAAACUGGGUCUAAUACCGGAUAGGACCGCACCGUGAGGGUGUGGUGGAAAGUUUUUUCAGUGUGGGAUGGGCCCGCGGCCUAUCAGCUUGUUGGUGGGGUAAUGGCCUACCAAGGCGGCGACGGGUAGCCGGCCUGAGAGGGUGGACGGCCACAUUGGGACUGAGACACGGCCCAGACUCCUACGGGAGGCAGCAGUGGGGAAUAUUGCACAAUGGGCGGAAGCCUGAUGCAGCGACCCCGCGUGGGGGAUGACGGCCUUCGGGUUGUAAACUCCUUUCACCAUCGACGAAGGGUUUCUGACGGUAGAUGGAGAACACGCACCGGUUAUCUUCGUGCCAGCAUUCGCGGUAAUACUUAAGGUGCGAGCGUUGUCCCGAUAUACUGGGCGUAAAGAGCUCGUAAGUGGUUUGUCGCGUCGUCUGUGAAAUUCCGGGGCUUAACUCCGGGCGUGCAGGCGAUACGGGCAUAACUUGAGUACUGUAGGGGAGACUGGAAUUCCUGGUGUAGCGGUGAAAUGCGCAGAUAUCAGGAGGAACACCGGUGGCGAAGGCGGGUCUCUGGGCAGUAACUGACGCUGAGGAGCGAAAGCAUGGGGAGCGAACAGGAUUAGAUACCCUGGUAGUCCAUGCCGUAAACGGUGGGCGCUAGGUGUGGGUUUCCUUCCACGGGAUCCGUGCCGUAGCUAACGCAUUAAGCGCCCCGCCUGGGGAGUACGGCCGCAAGGCUAAAACUCAAAGGAAUUGACGGGGGCCCGCACAAGCGGCGGAGCAUGUGGAUUAAUUCGAUGCAACGCGAAGAACCUUACCUGGGCUUGACAUAUACAGGAUCGCGCCGGAGAUGGUGUUUCCCUUGUGGCUUGUAUACAGGUGGUGCAUGGUUGUCGUCAGCUCGUGUCGUGAGAUGUUGGGUUAAGUCCCGCAACGAGCGCAACCCUUGUCUUAUGUUGCCAGCACGUUGUGGUGGGGACUCGUAAGAAACUGCCGGGGUUAACUCGGAGGAAGGUGGGGAUGACGUCAAAUCAUCAUGCCCCUUAUGUCCAGGGCUUCACACAUGCUACAAUGGUCGGUACAGUGGGUUGCCAGUCCGUGAGGGCGAGCUAAUCCCGCAAAGCCGGUCUCAGUUCGGAUCGGGGUCUGCAACUCGACCCCGUGAAGUCGGAGUCGCUAGUAAUCGCAGAUCAGCAACCCCUGCGGUGAAUACGUUCCCGGGCCU
rnacentral:rRNA from 1 species